rnacentral:lncRNA from 1 species
AUGGUUCGCAGACAGGUCAAAUGCGACGCAGCAAGGGGAGCCCCAGUAUGCGAACCUGGAGCUGCAGACGUGGCCCCUUCGGGGAGAGCCCAUGCACCCCAGGCAGGUGGAGGUGGAAUACAGCACAGUGAAAGCUCCCAGGGAAGAGCCUCACUACUCGUC